rnacentral:rRNA from 1 species
CAGUAGCCACGGUAAUACAGAGGGUGCGAGCGUUAAUCGGAUUUACUGGGCGUAAAGCGUGCGUAGGCGGCUAAUUGAGUCGGAUGUGAAAUCCCCGAGCCUAACUUGGGAAUUGCAUUCGAUACUGGUUAGCUAGAGUGUGGGAGAGGAUGGUAGAAUUCCAGGUGUAGCGGUGAAAUGCGUAGAGAUCUGGAGGAAUACCGAUGGCGAAGGCAGCCAUCUGGCCUAACACUGACGCUAAGGUACGAAAGCAUGGGGAGCAAACAGGAUUAGAGACCCCCGUAGUCCCUGUCUCUUAUAC